UACAGAGGGUGCAAGCGUUGUUCGGAAUUAUUGGGCGUAAAGGGAGUGUAGGCGGCUAGGAAAGUCUUCUGUGAAAUCUACGGGCUCAGCCUGUAACGUGCAGAGGAAACUAUUUGGCUAGAGUGUCGGAGAGGAUAGGGGAAUACCCGGUGUAGAGGUGAAAUUCGUAGAGAUCGGGUGGAACACCAGUGGCGAAGGCGCCUGUCUGGCUGACAACUGACGCUGAGACUCGAAAGCAUGGGGAGCAAACAGG
rnacentral:rRNA from 1 species